AUUUUAUGGUCAAGCUACUAAGGGCGUACGGUGGAUGCCUUGGCGCCAGACGGCGAUGAAGGACGCGGCUACCUGCGAUAAGCCUCGGCGAGGGGGAAGCACCCUUUGACCCGGGGAUUUCCGAAUGGGGAAACCCUUCCGAGUAAACCUCGGAAACGGCCCGCUGAAUCCAUAGGCGGGUUCGAGCAAACCCAGGGAAGUGAACCAUCUCAGUACCUGGAGGAAGAGAAAGCAACCGCGAUUCCGUCAGUAGCGGCGAGCGAAAGCGGAACAGCCCAAACCCAGCGUUCCUCAUUGGGCCAUCGGGUGAUUGAGUGAAUGAGUCAUUGAAGGACGAAUCUGAUCGCUUUCGUUCAAUGGCUCGAUGACCCGAUGAUCCAAUGACCCGAUGAGGAGCGCUGGGGGUUGUAGGGCGCGCGUCGGCGAAGAGCCAUAGAGUUACCAAUCCGGCGGCUAACCGAACGACUUGGAAAAGUCGGCCACAGGAUGUGAUAGCCAUGUAGGUGAAAGCUGACCGGACUCUAACGCGCGUUCCUGAGUACCGCGGGGCACGAGAAACCCCGCGGGAAGCUACGGGGACCAUCCCGUAAGGCUAAAUACGUGCUGGCGACCGAUAGUGAACUAGUACCGUGAGGGAAAGGUGAAAAGCACCCCUGCGAGGGGAGUUAAAAGUACCUGAAACCGUAUGCCUACAAGCAGUCGGAGGGCUACGUCCGGAGCGCAAGCGACGGACAAUAACUAGCCGGCUCAUUAUGCAAUAGGCACGCCGUCAGGCGGCGAGAAGCCUUGCGGCCGCGCGCGCAGCCCUCCGACUGCUUGUAGGCAUACGGUUUCAGGUACUUUUAACUCCCCUCGCAGGGGUUCUUUUCACCUUUCCCUCACGGUACUGGUUCACUAUCGGUCGCCAGAACGAGAACUAGAUGGACUAGGGUCCGAUAACGGAUUCCGAAUUCAACUAAACUCCGAAUGCCGCGAAGCGUAGUCCGGGAGUCAGACAGUGGGGGCUAAGCUUCAUUGUCGAGAGGGAAACAGCCCAGACCGCCAGCUAAGGUCCCUAAGCGGUGGCUAAGUGGGGAAGGAAGUGAAGUCGCUUAAACAGCCAGGAGGUUGGCUUAGAAGCAGCCAUCCUUUAAAGAAAGCGUAACAGCUCACUGGUCGAGCGACUUUGCGCCAAUAAUUCAACGGGGCUCAAGCCACUUACCGAAGCUGCGGAUUUCGUGGCGCGUCACUGGUCAUCUGUAGCGGCGCUCUCUGAGCGCCGAGUGAGGAAUCACGGCGGUGAGGACACCGCCGCUACAGGGGACGAGCGAUGCGCCACGGAGUGGUAGAGGAGCGUUGAGUACAGUUUGAAGCGAGACCGCGAGGGCUCGUGGACGGUACUCAAGUGACUCUGCCGGCAUAAGUAGCGAUAACGGAGGUGAGAACCCUCCGCGCCGAAAGUCUAAGGUUUCCUGAGAAAGGUUAAUCCGCUCAGGGUUAGUCGGUCCCUAAGGCGAGGCCGAAAGGCGUAGCUGAUGGACAGCCGGUUAAUAUUCCGGCACUGCGGCGGAGACGUUAUCACGAGGCGGGGACGCAGGAGGAUAACGGAGUCCCGUGAUGGCUUACGGGAUGUGCGCAUCGAGGGGGACCCGGCCGGCAAAUCCACCGGGUCGGUUCAAAGCCAGCUCUGAGGUGUGUGCCGAAGGGUCUUGGACCCUGUAAAGUCUGUGAUUUCACGCUGCCAAGAAAAUCCGCUUAGGAGUCUCUGACGCAACCGUACCUCAAACCGACACAGGUAGACGAGGUGAAUAUCCAAAGGCGCUUGAGAGAACACUCGCUAAGGAACUAGGCAAAUUAGCACCGUAACUUCGGAAGAAGGUGUGCCCCGCCAGGGUUUAAAGCCCGAGGGGGCCGCAGCGAAUCGCGCUCUGCGACUGUUUAACAAAAACACAGGUCUCUGCUAAGUCGAAAACGACGUAUAGGGGCUGACGCCUGCCCGGUGCCGGAAGGUUAAAGGGAGGGGUCAUCCCGCCGCAAGGUGGGGGAAGCUCUGAUCUGAAGCCCCGGUGAACGGCGGCCGUAACUAUAACGGUCCUAAGGUAGCGAAAUUCCUUGUCGGGUAAGUUCCGACCUGCACGAAUGGCGUAACGAUAGAGCGACUGUCGUGGCGAGUGACUCAGCGAACUUGUAGUACCGGUGAAGAUGCCGGUUUCCCGCACCUAGACGGAAAGACCCCGUGCACCUUAACUACACCUUAGCCUUGACCUAUGGGGUUGUCUGCGCAGGAUAGGUGGGAGGCUUCGAACCCUGAUUCUCGGAUCGGGGGGAGCCAACGGUGAGAUACCACCCUGAUGAUUCUGUGGGUCUAACCUCGACCCGUAAUCCGGGCCAGGAACAUGGCUAGGCGGGUAGUUUGACUGGGGCGGUCGCCUCCUAAAUUGUAACGGAGGCGCUCGAAGCUUGGCUCAGGCUGUUUGGAAAUCAGCCGUCGAGUGUAAGGGCAUAAGCCAGGCUGACUGCGAGACCUACUAGUCAAGCAGACACGAAAGUGGGACCUAGUGAUCCGGUGGUUCCGCAUGGAAGGGCCAUCGCUCAACGGAUAAAAGGUACGCCGGGGAUAACAGGCUGAUCGGGGCCAAGAGUUCACAUCGACGCCCCGGUUUGGCACCUCGAUGUCGGCUCAUCGCAUCCUGGAGGUGUAGAAGCUUCCAAGGGUUGGGCUGUUCGCCCAUUAAAGCGGUACGUGAGCUGGGUUCAGAACGUCGCGAGACAGUUCGGUCCCUAUCUGGUGUGGGCGCAGGAGAUUUGAGGGGAGUUGUCCCUAGUACGAGAGGACCGGGAUGAACAGACCUCUUGUGUCCCAGCUGUCACGCCCGUGGCACGGCUGGGUAGCGAAGUCUGGAAGUGAUAAAUGCUGAAAGCAUCUAAGCGUGAAGCACGCCCCAAGAUCAGAUCUCCCAAGGGUGAGACCCCAGUGACUCUGGGGACGAACCCUCUGAAGGGCCGUCGAAGACUACGACGUAUAUAGGCCAGGGGUGUAAGCAGGGCAACCUGUUCAGCUUACUGGUCCUAAUCGCCCGUUCGGCUUGACCAUAAAA
rnacentral:rRNA from 1 species